UCGCCUCCGGGCAGUUUUCUGCUGUUCAGCAUCCUGGGAACGGGUGGUGUUUACUCCUGGUUGGGACAAACCUUUAUUAAUGAUCGUUAAUGGGCCAGAAUGUUUGCUGUUCCAGGCAGAGUGUUUUCACAGAAACCCACCAAGGCCAAGGCCCUGCUGAAGUUGCAGAAUAUGAAUGAGGUGCUUUUCUUUACUUCUUCUCCUCUCCUCUGAUUUGCAUGACUAAACUUCCUGCCUUCUUUUUAAUGUGUUUGCUGAUUAUUGAUCUAUCUCCUAUGGAGCAACAAGUUAUUUGCCCAUUGGCAAUGACUUAAAUAUGACAGAAGUCCCUGCAACACCUGUAAGGAACCUGAGCCAGAGUUGUCCUGGUGUGGAGCUGGGGAGCAGCUAUUCCAGGAGAGUCUGCAGACUUGGGACACAGGAACAAAAUUAUACUGGUCUCCUACAGGCUCACUAAGAAGGAUCUUGGCAAAGGAGGCUUUAUGGCUUACUGCUCAUGCUACAAUAUGAACUGAAAUAUAAGAGGCUGAUGGACAGCAAUGGGCAAUAAAAUACUUCCUGUUUCAACAUGCAGAAGCUCUGGCAGGACGGCACUGGCAGAGCUGAGAAAACUGUAAAUCCAGCGUCAUAUCAAGAGGAUUGAGAUGGUAUCUCAAAUGCCACUAGUCACACUCAUCACACACACACACACACACACACACACACACACACACACAAACACUCGCACGCACGCAUGCACGCACAAAAAUUCAAAGUACAAGUCAGUACUAGUCAUCAUCAGGAAACUUCUUGAACAAAACCAAGGUGACUUUCACUGGGUUCACACCAUAGCUUACCUUUCUGAAAACCCAAUGAAAAUUAAUUGCAAAAAUUGUAGUGCAGAAAAAGCACUACAACUGGUUCCAUGUAAAACAAUUUUCCUCUGGUGCCCAGGUUUGAGAGGUUUCAUUUUACUACAUAAAUUGCUUUGCACUGUGCCUCCUCCAUUCUCGACAUAUUGAGUGCAUUCUCUGGAUGCACCAUGGGAUUUUGGCAUAGCCCUCUCCCAUCCAGCAGUAUGAGUGUGCUACUUCCUAAUCUGGUUGUUUCAGAGCCUAUGAUCCACUUUGACCAGCACUAUAAUAAAUACCUCUGAAUACA